rnacentral:rRNA from 1 species
UUGCCCUAGUAACGGCGAAGUGAAGCGGCAACAGCUCAAAUUUGAAAUCUGGCUUCGGCCCGAGUUGUAAUUUGCAGAGGAAGCUUUAGGCGCGGCACCUUCUGAGUCCCCUGGAACGGGGCGCCAUAGAGGGUGAGAGCCCCGUAUAGUUGGAUGCCUAGCCUGUGUAAAGCUCCUUCGACGAGUCGAGUAGUUUGGGAAUGCUGCUCAAAAUGGGAGGUAAAUUUCUUCUAAAGCUAAAUACCGGCCAGAGACCGAUAGCGCACAAGUAGAGUGAUCGAAAGAUGAAAAGCACUUUGAAAAGAGGGUUAAAUAGCACGUGAAAUUGUUGAAAGGGAAGCGCUUGUGACCAGACUUGCGCCGGGCUGAUCAUCCGGUGUUCUCACCGGUGCACUCUGCCCGGCUCAGGCCAGCAUCGGUUCUCGCGGGGGGAUAAAGGUUCCGGGAAUGUAGCUCCUCCGGGAGUGUUAUAGCCCGGGGCGUAAUGCCCUCGCGGGGACCGAGGUUCGCGCUCUGCAAGGAUGCUGGCGUAAUGGUCAUCAGCGACCCGUCUUGAAACACGGACCAAGGAGUCAAGGUUUUGCGCGAGUGUUUGGGUGUAAAACCCGCACGCGUAAUGAAAGUGAACGUAGGUGAGAGCUUCGGCGCAUCAUCGACCGAUCCUGAUGUUUUCGGAUGGAUUUGAGUAAGAGCGUUAAGCCUUGGACCCGAAAGAUGGUGAACUAUGCUUGGAUAGGGUGAAGCCAGAGGAAACUCUGGUGGAGGCUCGCAGCGGUUCUGACGUGCAAAUCGAUCGUCAAAUCUGAGCAU